rnacentral:rRNA from 1 species
UACGUAGGUGGCAAGCGUUGUCCGGAAUUAUUGGGCGUAAAGCGCGCGCAGGCGGUCCUUUAAGUCUGAUGUGAAAGCCCACGGCUCAACCGUGGAGGGUCAUUGGAAACUGGGGGACUUGAGUGCAGGAGAGAAGAGUGGAAUUCCACGUGUAGCGGUGAAAUGCGUAGAGAUGUGGAGGAACACCAGUGGCGAAGGCGGCCAGCUGGGCCGACCCUGACGCUGAGGCGCGAAGGCGUGGGGAGCGAACAGG